CACGUAGGGGGCGAGCGUUGUCCGGAUUUAUUGGGCGUAAAGAGCUCGUAGGCGGUUCGAUAAGUCGGGUGUGAAAACUCUGGGCUCAACUCAGAGACGCCACCCGAUACUGUUGUGACUUGAGUCCGGUAGGGGAGUAUGGAAUUCCCGGUGUAGCGGUGAAAUGCGCAGAUAUCGGGAGGAACACCAGUGGCGAAGGCGGUACUCUGGGCCGGAACUGACGCUGAGACGCGAAAGCGUGGGGAGCAAACAGG
rnacentral:rRNA from 1 species